AAAACUUCUAUCAAGUCUAAAAAAACACCUUAGUUUGUCCCAAAACCACAACCCAACUGCUACCGAAAACACGCGAUUCAGAUUGCGCAUGAAAGAAAUGAUUAAGAACACCGAUUUCUCUAAUUUGCGAAUUUCUCCAAGAUUCGGCCGCCGACUUUUUUUUCACCCGUCCAACAUGCAAAAUCGGUCUUGUCUGAUGCCGCUGGUAGGGUUCAUUUUUUUCUGAUUAUUUUUUAACUUUUU
rnacentral:lncRNA from 1 species